rnacentral:lncRNA from 1 species
CUCUUUAUCCCUCUCACUUACUCUUUAUUCAUAUCUAGCUUCAGCAUAAUCUGCCUUCCCUCUGUGUCCCCUCUUCCCCCUUCCCUCCCCCUUCCUCCCUCUCUUCCCCUCCCUCCCCCCCCCUCCCCCCUUGCCCCUCCCUCCUCCCUCCCCCGCUGCCCCUCCCCCUCUCUCCUUCCCCCUUCCUCCCUUCCCUUCCUCCCUCCUUCUCCUCCCCCUUCCCUCCCCCUCCCUCCCUUCCUCCCUCCUUCCCUCCCUCCUUCUUUACCCAUUCCCCCUCCCCUCCUCCUCCCUCCCCCCUCCUUUUCCCAUUCCCCCCUCCCUUCCCCAUUCCCCCUCCCUCCCCCUCCUCCCUUUGUCCCCCUUCCCUCUUCCUCCCUCCUUCCUCCCCCUCCCUCCUCCCCCUCCUUUUCUCAUCCUCCCUUCCCUCCCCCUCUCUCCCCCUCCCUCCCCCUCCUUUUCUCAUCCUUCCUCCCCUCCCUCCCCCUCCUCCCUCUUUCCUUCCCCCCCUCCCUCCCUCUUCCUUCCGUCUCCCUUCCCUCCGUCCUCCUCCCCUCCGUCCCCCUCCCUUCCCUCCCCCUCCCUCCUCCUCCCCUUCCUCUCCUCCCUCCUCUCCCCCCCCUUUCCCAUCCCCUCCCCCCUCCCCAUCCCUCCCCUUCUCCCCCCCUCCCUCCCAGUUCCAUAACUGCCACCUCCCGCAGUCCUGUGUCCCAGCGUGGGCGCCGCGGCCGGUCCCCGGUGCUCCUUCCGCUCCCCUUUCACUUCCCUUCAAGCCCCUCGGCGCAUCCACGCCUGCUGAGUUUCCAUUCUCAGUUUUCCGGAGGCUGUAACUUGGGCCCAGAAAUCUCAGUGUCCUGCUGCCCUGACGUUUUACCUCCCCUUGGUUCCAGGAGGGCGGACAUCUGGCCCAGCUGCGGUUUCCUUAAAUGCCUCAGUUUCCCUUCCGGACUUGGCUCGGACAUUUGCCCCCCCCCCCCCCCCCCCCCCCGCCCUCGAGGUCACUAA